rnacentral:rRNA from 1 species
AUACGUAGGGGGCGAGCGUUGUCCGGAAUGAUUGGGCGUAAAGGGCGCGUAGGCGGCCUGUUAAGUCUGGAGUGAAAGUCCUGUUUUCAAGAUGGGAAUUGCUUUGGAUACUGAUGGGCUUGAGUGCAGGAGAGGUUAUCGGAAUUCCCGGUGUAGCGGUGAAAUGCGUAGAGAUCGGGAGGAACACCAGUGGCGAAGGCGGGUAACUGGACUGCAACUGACGCUGAGGCGCGAAAGUGUGGGGAGCAAACAGGAUUAGAUACCCUGGUAGUCCACACUGUAAACGAUGAAUGCUAGGUGUAGGGGGUAUCGACUCCCUCUGUGCCGCAGUUAACACAAUAAGUAUUCCGCCUGGGGAGUACGGCCGCAAGGUUGAAACUCAAAGGAAUUGACGGGG